UUGAGAGCUUGCUCAGAUAUGACGAUGGACAUUGCAAAGAGUGGCGAACGGGUGAGUAACACGUGGGAAACCUACCUCUUAGCAGGGGAUAACAUUUGGAAACAGAUGCUAAUACCGUAUAACAAUAGCAACCGCAUGGUUGCUACUUAAAAGAUGGUUCUGCUAUCACUAAGAGAUGGUCCCGCGGUGCAUUAGUUAGUUGGUGAGGUAAUGGCUCACCAAGACGAUGAUGCAUAGCCGAGUUGAGAGACUGAUCGGCCACAAUGGGACUGAGACACGGCCCAUACUCCUACGGGAGGCAGCAGUAGGGAAUCUUCCACAAUGGGCGAAAGCCUGAUGGAGCAACGCCGCGUGUGUGAUGAAGGGUUUCGGCUCGUAAAACACUGUUGUAAGAGAAGAAUGACAUUGAGAGUAACUGUUCAAUGUGUGACGGUAUCUUACCAGAAAGGAACGGCUAAAUACGUGCCAGCAGCCGCGGUAAUACGUAUGUUCCAAGCGUUAUCCGGAUUUAUUGGGCGUAAAGCGAGCGCAGACGGUUAUUUAAGUCUGAAGUGAAAGCCCUCAGCUCAACUGAGGAAUUGCUUUGGAAACUGGAUGACUUGAGUGCAGUAGAGGAAAGUGGAACUCCAUGUGUAGCGGUGAAAUGCGUAGAUAUAUGGAAGAACACCAGUGGCGAAGGCGGCUUUCUGGACUGUAACUGACGUUGAGGCUCGAAAGUGUGGGUAGCAAACAGGAUUAGAUACCCUGGUAGUCCACACCGUAAACGAUGAGUGCUAGGUGUUUGAGGGUUUCCGCCCUUAAGUGCCGCAGCUAACGCAUUAAGCACUCCGCCUGGGGAGUACGACCGCAAGGUUGAAACUCAAAGGAAUUGACGGGGACCCGCACAAGCGGUGGAGCAUGU
rnacentral:rRNA from 1 species